rnacentral:rRNA from 1 species
UCUACGGGGGCUGCAGUGGGGAAUAUUGGACAAUGGGCGAAAGCCUGAUCCAGCCAUGCCGCGUGUGUGAAGAAGGCCUUCGGGUUGUAAAGCACUUUCAGUGGGGAAGAAAGCCUUGGGGCUAAUACCCUCGAGGAAGGACAUCACCCACAGAAGAAGCACCGGCUAACUCCGUGCCAGCAGCCGCGGUAAUACGGAGGGUGCGAGCGUUAAUCGGAAUUACUGGGCGUAAAGCGCGCGUAGGCGGUCUGAUAAGCCGGUUGUGAAAGCCCCGGGCUCAACCUGGGAACGGCAUCCGGAACUGUCAGGCUAGAGUGCAGGAGAGGAAGGUAGAAUUCCCGGUGUAGCGGUGAAAUGCGUAGAGAUCGGGAGGAAUACCAGUGGCGAAGGCGGCCUUCUGGACUGACACUGACGCUGAGGUGCGAAAGCGUGGGUAGCAAACAGGAUUAGAUACCCUGGUAGUC